UACGUAGGGGUGCAAGCGUUGUCCGGAAUUAUUGGGCGUAAAGAGCUCGUAGGCGGUCUGUUACGUCGGCUGUGAAAACCUGGGGCUCAACCCCGGGCCUGCAACCGGAUACGGGCAGACUAGAGUUCGGCAGGGGAGACUGGAAUUCCGUGGUGUAGCGGUGAAAUGCGCAGGAUAAUCAGGAGGAACACCGAUGGCGAAGGCAGGUCUCUGGGCAUUAACUGACGCUGAGGAGCGAAAGCAUGGGGAGCGAAACAGGG
rnacentral:rRNA from 1 species